rnacentral:tRNA from 1 species
GGUGCUGAUCCAAUGAAUUGGGCUGGGUUGAUGUCCCAGAUUUAGGGAGGUUUACUCCUCAGUGCUU